UUCCACUCUGCCUCCCCUGCUUCACUGAGCCUUUGGUUCCUCUGUCUCCAGGGAUGAGUCCUUAGCCGAGACAAGGCUAAGCGGGCUUCUCUCCUUUCCUGGCUAUGGCCCCUCAACAUUCGGAGUAUUGCAGGGCUGGUGGUGUAUGGAGAAGACAGGAGCAGAGAGGCCUCGGUGGCUCACCUGGUAAUAGUGGAAGAUGGAAUCUGCCAUAGGAUCCUUCCCUGGCACUGUCGUGGUCCACAGUUUCUUCAUGAAGAACACCUGGUAGGAAAAGAACAAUUUUCUCCAAAGCAGAGCCUCCUCCCAGGCGGCAGGAGAGGGCAGGCAGCACACCCUUCCAAGGAGAGCUCUGGGAAGCAGGGAAGCUGUGGUCUUCUGACUACACCCUGACCGUUCUGAAGGGCAGGAG